GAGAAACCAGGAUCUACACAACAAAAUAACGAAAACGUAACCCUAAUUCCAAAAUUCACGACUCCGGAAUCUAAGAGCUUGUAAAUUUGGUUACCGCCUUAGUUCCUUCAGAUACAGCGUGUUUGGCUAACUCACCAGGCAACACCAAUCGAACGGCGGUCUGGAUCUCCCGUGAGGUGAUCGUAGGUUUCUUGUUAUAUCUCGCCAAUUUCGAAGCCUCUUGAGCAAGUUUCUCGAAGAUAUCGUUGAUGAAACUGUUCAUAAUGCCCAUUGCCUUGCUGGAGAUUCCAAUGUCA
rnacentral:misc_RNA from 1 species